UUUAUUAUGAAUUUAUUUUACAUAUAAAUUUUAGUAAGAUUUUAGUUAUUUAAAAAAUAAUUAAAAUAUUGGUAAGUAGUAAUUAAUAUUAAAAAUUUAAGAAAUUAAGAUUUAGUAAUAUAAAAAUUAAAAACAAAUUUUGUGCCAGCAGUUGCGGUUAAACAAAAUUUAAAAUAAAUUAUCUUAGUAAUUAAUAAUUAAUAAAUUUUUAAGAAAAAUUUAAAUUAUUAAGUGAAAUUUUAAUUUAAAAAAAUUUAAGAAAAUUUUAAGAAUUAAUAAAUUUUAAAAAAGACUAGGAUUAGAUACCCUAUUAUUAAAAAUUUUAAAUAAAAAUACUAAAAUAGUAAAUAAUUAUUUAUUGAAACUUAAAUAAUUUGGCGGUAUUUUAGUUCAUUUAGAGGAAUCUGUUUGGUAAUUGAUAAUCCACGAAUAAAUUUACUUAAUAAGAAUAUUUUGUAUAUCGUUGUUAAAAAAAUAUUUUUUAAUAAUAAUAAUAUUUAAAAAUUUUUAAUAAAAAUUAAAUCAGAUCAAGAUGCAGAUUAUAAUUAAGAUAAAAAUGGAUUACAAUAAAUUUAUUUAAAAUGGAUUUUAAUUUGUAAAAAUUAAUUAAAGGUGGAUUUAAAUGUAAUUUUUUUUAAUUUAAAAGAAUGAUUAAAAAUUAAAAUAUGUACAUAUUGCCCGUCGCUUUCAUUAAUAAAUUGAAAUAAGUCGUAACAAAGUAGAGGUACUGGAAAGUAUUUCUAGAAA
rnacentral:ncRNA from 1 species